AAGUGCAAUUGAGAUUGGCUAGGGGUUAAACGAUGGAGAAUAGACGGUCAGUGAACAGUCCCAGAAGAAUACUGAGCUUCUCCCGCAAUCGAAGAGCCCAAGUCUUCUUUCAGGACCCUCAUCAUGACAAUCUGCAGCGUCCCAAACCCGAUGAUGCUGGUCCCAAACCCUCCGAGGUUUACGGCUUCGUGGGCUCUAUUACAACUGCUGUUGCUCUUGUUGUUUUCCUGGUGUGGGCAUAUGUUCCAGAAAACUGGCUACAUACUGUUGGGAUCUAUUACUAUCCAAGCAGGUAUUGGGCAAUAGCAGCACCAACUUAUGCUAUGGUGACACUAGUAUUGGUGAUUGUAUUUUACAUCGGCAUCAACUUCAUGGUGACCCCUCCCCCAACUUCCUUCAACACAAUAUUUGACGAGCACACCAGGAAUCCUGUGAGCUUGGUCCCUUCUACAGAAGAAUACGAGUCUCCUAUUCCUCCAAUGUUUGAUAUCAGCAUUAGCCAAAUCAAUGAUGCUAUGUUUAGUGAUCCUACAUAAGAAUUGCGUCUUGACAUGUUUUUACACUUCAGGGUUGCAGCACAAUGUAAUAUGACAAUCUUGCAAAGUGCACGGUGGAAAACUUGAAAACAGGUGUAUGUAUGGCUUCUGAUUUCUACUGUGAGAUGACUUUUCACAGCUGAAUUUGCUUCAGAAGAACACACUCUAAAGACAAUGGCAAAAGUAAGAUGAUUCAAAUAAGAAGACUGCAGUAGCUUGGUUUCAGCGUUUCAUGUGCCUACAAGUUUUGAGACUUAUCAAGGAUCAAGAGGUAGAAAACAUCGCAAUGCAACGGGUGCUCAUUUUGCUUUUUCGUCCUUGAGUACCAGAAUAGUGACCAACUAUUUGAAAAAACAUUUCCUUGACAGAGAUUGAAUAAAAUUACGGCAUAAGAACAUGGUUUAGCCAAGAUUAUGGUAAAAUUCCAGGCCGCUGGGCGUUUUUAAACUCUAAAUGUCAACGCUUGCUUAGAUCAUGGUAUACGUGCUUACUGCCUUACUGUGCUUACUGCGGAUAGUUAGGCGUUUUUGUACUUCAAGCUACAACAACAAUGGGUUUGCAAAUUGCAACUGAGUGACAAAUUUGCUGCAGAAAGAUUCGUAUUAAAAUAUUAAGAACUGACAAAUUGAUAUAGGACA